UGAGUUCAAAUCCCGAGCACCAUGUAAACAUCUAGGCAUGGCGCAUGUAGCCCACAAUGGAGGAACAGAGAAUUGUAGAUCCUGAGAGUUCACUGGGCAGCCUACCUGGAAUGGCCAACUUUUGGUUCAAUGAGAGACCCUUGUCAAGGCAGCAAGGCAGACAGCCAACAUCCUGUUCUUGCCUCCACAUGUGGGUACACAGGAGCAUUUCAGGGCAUGGCUCUUGUUCUUUGCAACCGUGACAGAACAGAACAUGUGUUUCCUGGGUGAAGACCACAGGAAUGCUGAGCCAACCUUCCCCCUACCUUUCUCCACAAAGGAAAAACUAAGAGAUCAUCGUUGGAACAUCCACUAAUGAGAGGUGCUCUGAGGUUCAACACCAUUCUGAGAUUUCUGGUCUUUCUAUUGCCACCACCACCUGCUGAUCAAUAUCAGCUGCUAGCUCUACACUUUAAUGGAAUUGUCAGUUAGUUGUGACCUGAACUUGUGAUACCAAAGAGCAGAGACUCUCAGACAGUAGUUCCAGAAAAGUCUGACAUGUUUUUGGGCUGUCAGUUACACACACUGCCCUACGGACUUUGCUCACAUCACUUCUGCCUCUCUCAACAGCCUGCAAGAUAGACAUUAUUGCUAUAUUACAAGCGAGGAAACCAUGGCUCGAGAUGCUUCAGCAAUUUGUUCCAUUUUAUUGCAAUGGAAUCAAGUUUGUUUCUAGGGCUAUGGACUUCAGAUCCCAACCUCUCUCUGAGUGUGGCUGCUCUUCUAGGCUAGAAGGUUCUAUAAUAUAUGGGAACAAAUACAGAGGCAUUAUGGAGAGAGAGAGAGAAGAGAGAGAGAGAGAAGAGAGAGAGAGAGCGAGAGCGAGAGACCUUGGAACUUGGAGCCUACAGCUCUAAACUAGAUGUCUCCAUUAAAUCCCUGCCCUCAGAGAGCAGGGAACCCCACAGAAGGAGCUGGGGAGAUAGAGGAGACAGGAUACCAGGGGAACAAGACCUUUUAUAACAACUGAGCAGAGCUCAUAUCAACUCACAGAGACUGAAGCAGCUUACACAGGGCCUACAAAGGGCUCUCUGAGGCACGCAGUUGGGUAAUUUCAUCCUUUACCAGAGGAGAAAGCUAUCUCUGAGGCUACUCAGAUGCUGCCUUCUCUGAUCCUCAUGGUGGGGAUUCACCCCCUGCCUUCCUGUUUUCAACAUCAUGGCUGUCCCAGCUGCAGUCAUCUUGUUCCUUUCUCUCCUGUGUUCACAGCAGCUGUGUCCUUGAGAUCCAGAUGUUUCCUGACUUCCAGGACUGAUCUUGUUCAUCUAUGUAUCUUCCGAGGCUCAAGAGAGACUCUGAGAAUUUCUUCAAAUGGUCCACGUCUUUGUGAGACAUCCUCCAAACAUGAUGUCACAGCCACCCAAGGACUGAGAAGGGACACUUUUGCCAUGUCUACCAGUGUCAUUUCCCUGCACAGCCACCAAAAACUGUUUCUUUCCUGGACUUCCUAUAAAUCUUAACAUUCAUUGUCCUAACUCAUGAUUUCUGAGUUUGCUGAUGGUUCAAUGAGUUUAUUACCAUGUUUCUUCACUGCCUGGGGAUCCGUUUCCUCUUGCCUGCAGUUUUGUUACAUUUACCUUUCUAAGAAUGUCCUUGCCUGUGUUUUUAAAUCAAUACUUGUGUUCACAAGAAUCUAAUUCCUUCC